rnacentral:misc_RNA from 1 species
UUCUUUCAUGCACCACCUUUGGUCUCAGAAGCAAAGACUAGAAGUAACAUGUACACGAUUAUCCGUGAUUUAAUUGUUGUCAUGCAGCUCAUUACGAUCUGAAUGUUGUAGCUGUUUCAAUGAAAAAUAUAAUUUUUAUCUGUUUACAAUUUGCUAUGAUUAAGCGCUCAAAUGACUGCUAGAUCACAGCGUGCCGGAGUUGACACAGACUAUCAAGAUCAACUCGCAGACGUGUAAUACGAGUACGAGCAGAACUGUCGCCGUGAGUUCAGUCCCCUGUGAUGGAAGGCACAGCAGAAGCGAAUGAUUCGUUGCUUCAGUUUUCGUCUGCAAGCUUGUGAAUGAACCAUUUAAUGUCGCAGAAACUCGCGCAUUUAUUUCCAGAAUGUCAGGAAGGCCUCCACCAAAGCCCGAAGAAAAUUUAAAAGAAAAGUUCAUGGGAUUUUUCAGACGAAAUAAGAAUGCGUUACAAAAUAUUCCAAAAUCUUCGUCAAAAGACCUCAUGAUAACCCCACAGAUUUUGAAGGAUAUUGGUCAGGAAUGUCCAGCAAACAAUCGCAAGCGUAAUAUCAAAGCAUUAAGUGAUCAGGUCAAGUCCAGACAACUAGAACAGUGGGGCACUGAAGCUCUUUGGAUGGCUACCAAAGACCUUGUGGAGCCAGAGAUGGAUAUGGAGAGCAGGCAGCUGGUUUUAAAUUUUCUCCUCUCGUUAAUUGAAGGACAGCUGAAGACUUUAGGAAUGCUUAGGGGUGUCUUCUUCAAUGUAAUUGAGAAUCUCGAGAAACCUGAAGACUUGAGGAUAAGACUUGAGCUUUUUAAGGGACUUAGUGAAAAUGGAAAAAACAUCUAUGAUUUUGAGGACAGGGCAGGUCCUUUCCUGUUGAAACUCAUGCCUGAUGCUUUGACAGCAGGUUUCAUCACAGAUUUUCUGUUGAUUGUCAUCAACAUCAUCAAGUUUAAUGCAGCUUAUAUUGAUGAGGAUAUUUUGUCUGGGCUAGUUCAACAGACAUGCAUGAUUCAAAACAGAACUCGAUCAGAUGAAGACAUGAAGCUGUGCCAGCAAGUGCUAGAUGCAGUCAUCUGCUACAGUUACCUGCCUCCUGAUUCGCUGCAUUACUUUGUGGCUGCUCUCUGCCACAUGGUCAGUAAGCCUCGUUUCUGUGAAGAGAGCUGGGAACUUAUGAAGAAACUCCUUGGGACACAUCUUGGGUGCAAGACUAUCCACACAAUGUGCUGCAUGAUGCAAGACAAACAACAGCCAGUGGACUUCAUCCUGCUGCGUGGUGCAGUCUUCUUUACUGGAAUGGCUCUUUGGGGCUCACGAAGAGUGGCUAGUCUGAAAGACCUUUCAUCAGCUGUUCUACCUUCCUUUCUUGAGGUUCUUACAUACAGUAAUUCCAGUGUGUCAUAUGAGGUAUCAUUGAGCAUAAGUCGUUUGAUCAACAAGUAUGGAAAAGACCUGACACACAUCACAUGGGAAACUGUCUUUAAUAUCACACAAAGACUGAUUCAUCAGACAGAGACAAUUCCCUCUAUGGAUCCACGAAUAAGCUCAGAAGUUCAUAAUAUGCUUACUGAAAUAGAACAUCUCCACCAGAUGGGCCAUUUCCUGGGACCUGCUGAACGAAUUUUUGUCAUAGUGGAGAGCUGUGGUAGCAAACGGCCGACAGAAUCUGUGUGUAAACUCAUUGAUCACCACAUGAAAGAUAUUCAUCCAGGCCAAGACAAGUGGAUCCAGAAUCUUCACCAGCUGCUAGAUAAAUUUUUCAGACAUGAAACAAGAACUGAAGUGCGAAAGAAGGCCUUGGACAUGCUGUCAUUUGUUUUGAGCCUUAAUAAACAUGUGUAUGAGGCAGACCUCAUUGACAAACUCGUCAUCCCAUUUUUCUCACACAUUGAUAUGGACCCUGAUGUAAAGGUACGUGUCAUAGCAGCAGAAAUUCUUCUAAUCCUUGCUCAGGGUUGUUCCCGGGAUGAGUUUUUUGAUCUCAUCAACAUCAUAGAAAAGAUGAUACGGAAACCAUUGUUAAUGAGCAUAGAUCACUCAGCAGAGGGGGAUGAGAUCAGAGUGUUGACCCCGGAUCAGAAUCAUGGGGAUGUCAGACUUGCUGUGCUCCAGUUAAUAGAGGUUUUUGAGCAUAAGCUGUAUACAGCACCCCCAACCCAUUGCAAACGUCUGUAUGGAAUUCUUAUUAGCCACAUGCAGGCACAGUAUGAUCACAGCUACAACACUCCACUAGCUGCAGCUAUUCGGAAAGCAGUACUGGAACUACUGCUUCGGUUGAGGGCUGACAGUAAGCACAGAGUGGGAUUAAUUAACCGCCAUGGUGGUAAUGGCUGCACAUACAGUCCGUAUGCUGUUUGUGUUGAAGUUGCAAUCCAGUUUCCCACAAGUCCCAUUCUUGCCGGCCAGUCCCUGUCUCACAUGUUUACCAUGAUUGACUACACUCAGACAAUGGAACUCUAUAUUCGCUGCCUACAGAAGGAAACAGACUGGCAGGUGUUGAGUGUUUUGUUGGCAAGACUACCAUCUGUUUUAGAGAACAAAACCCUAGUGUUGUCUACUCGGGGCACACUAGUCUAUGACCUGUGCGAACGGCUCUGUCACAUGGUAAUGUUUCAGAUCAGCAGUCAGACUAGAGGUUUUCCAAGGCAGCUUCACAAUGUGCCUGAGGGCUUUAAGCGGUCUGACUUGGACAACUGUCUACUUCCUGUCAUUGCUGCCAUGGUAACCUAUCACCAGUUUCUGGAUAAAAACAAACAGUAUGAAGUGGUCAAGUGUCUGGAGUUUGGUUUAGUGUCUGGUGUGGCAAAAGUCUGUGUGACAACAUUGCGCAUCUGCUCUCUUGAGAUGCAAGACCUCAUGAUGCGGCUUCUGCCUUCAAUCCUUUUGUCACUGACCAAGAUUGCUGCCACCAUGGCGAUGGCCAUCCCAGUGCUGGCCUUUCUAUCUGGUUUGGUGCGGUUACCACAACUGUAUGCAAACUUUGUCGAAAAUGAAUAUAUGAGUGUAUUUGCCAUAGCACUCCCAUACACCAAUCCAUUCAAGUUCAGCCAUUACACAGUUUCUCUGGCACACCAUGUGAUUGCCAUCUGGUUCAUUCGUUGCCGCAUGCCCUUCCGAAAAGGUUUUGUCAAAUUUAUCCAGCGGGGUUUGAGCCACAACAUGACACAGUUGUUUGAAGAGAACAGCUACCUGAGGCUUAGUCAGCAAAACCAAGACUCUAGCCAUCGCAACCGUUCAGGAUCAGAAGGAACUUCAUUCAGGAGGCGUUUUCAGUCCAGUUCUGCAGCAAUUCAGAAGGAUGUGUUGCCACCAGUGGAUGAGAAAGUGUCUCAAUUCCACAAGGAGCUGAGAGAGACAUGUCUGGAUGUGAUGUCUCGAUACUCAUUUGGAAACAUGUCUAAUAAUUACCACAGGUCAGCUAUGGCACAGUUUCUGCUUGCGGAUGGGCCAUCAGAAACUUGGAUUGUUGGCAACAAACUUGUCACCAUUACCACCAGUGGUAAUCGUAGCAAGAGCAGUAACUCUGGUCUCUGUAGCAGGUGCCUCACUUCCCUGCAGCAGCCACAGGAUGAAAAGCAAAAAAUAAGGCAAGAGAAGAGGAGGAGGCAUAAAUCAGCCAUACUCUAUCGCAGCACCAGUGAGAUACAUGGAGAGUCUUCAAGUGUUGGUGUUUUUGGUUCUGGAGGAUCCAAAAAGGGUGAUGAUGUUCUGGCCCGCUGCACACGGGAUGAUCUUAGUCUGCUGAGCGACCAAACUCAUGAUGAUGUUGCGGUGCAGACUGGCAGCUCACUCACCUCGGGGGCUGAUUCAGACACCCUGGAGUCCAUGCUUCUUGGCAUGAAAAGCCUGGCAGAAAAGAAAAGUGUGAUCACAGCAGAUCCUUGCCCUUGCUGGUGUGAAGGCUGGGCAGAAAUCCUCAUUCGUGGUCCAAGCGGCAAUGUUGCAUGGGUCAUGCGCACCGAGAACGAGUAUUCCCAGUAUGCAGGCCAUGGUGACCCUUCCAUGCAUGAUAUUAUGAAUCUGUUUACAUCUGUCAAUUCCAAAUCUCCAGAUUCUGACAGCACAAGCAAACUGGACAGCGGAAGCCUUGGGGAGGAAGAAUAUGAAUCGGUGCAUUCCUAUAUUUUUGGCUUGGAAAAGCGGUCUUCUUCCCCAGAAGCAGACAAAGUGGACAAUGACCUCAGAGAAGAAAAUUCUUCAGUAGGGGCCGUUUCCACUUCAUCUGUCUCCAAGGAGAUUGAGAUUCCAGGCCGUGAUACCAUGGUCAGAAGCAGUUCUUCUCCUUCUGUUCUAAGCAGUUCCUAUGAUGAUACAUCUCCACUGGGGGUGACAGCAGCCCUUGUGUCACCUCAUUCAAACAAGCCUGACAUGGAGGCUGUCACAGUUAAAGUUGAUGUCUCAGAAUCUCGAGUCAUGUCUGCUGCAGGAAACUUUGAAGGACUAGAGAAAUCGACCCCAACCUCUGUGGUUUCAGGAGAGGGCAAGGAGUGCUACUUUGUCCCAGAUGCAAGUUUAGAGAGCAAAGAGGAAAAGAAUAUACAUGACAAAAACAGAAGUGCUGCUGACCGAACAGGUGGUGAGGAAAAUUUGGAUGCUUAUUGCAGUGAUGAGGCACAGGCUUAUGCCGGCAGUGUUGUUGGUGAGAGGGGACAUAGGAUGAGCAGUAGUAGGUUACAGGUACAGCUAGAGGAAUUUGACAGGAAGCAGGAAGAGAAGUGUGGAGAAAAAUCUGCAAGUGCUCAUACUCCAUCAGAACCUACCACUCCAACAAACCCACCCGAGUCCUCUCCCCUUCAGGAAGUAAAGAGCUCAGGCAUUGUCAUUGUAGCACCACAUACACCAUCCAGAAGCACUGGUCACAGGCAGGUUGUAAACACCAUUCGAAAGUCUUUACCAAUGACUUCACCUGACAGCUCAAGUUCCUCAUCCACACAGGAUGAGUUAAUGGAGCUGAAAAAUAUCAAGAAACGAGGGCACACUAUUGCUGUCAUGACUCGUGCGGAAGCAAAUCAGUUUAAAGAGGCAGACUCUGGGGCAAAAGCUGGUGGUGGUGUAGGCAAGAGCAUGGUGACACCGGCACAGAUCUUCUUGCAGCUCUACUACACUUAUCCAGUGACUACUUCACAGGACUUACCUCUGCAUCUACCUAAAACUGAGACAUUUGAACGUGCACUGAUGAUGUUGGAUCACAUUUAUCCACACGAGACUCAUAAAAUUGGGGUUAUCUAUGUAGCUGAGGGUCAGGCAGACGAUGAAAAAGCGAUUCUUUCCAAUGUACAUGGGUCCUCAAGGUAUACAGAGUUCAUGCUGGGUCUGGGGGAGCUGGUCCAGCUGGAGGAUGUGGACCAGUCAAGAGUUUAUCUCGGUGGCCUGAGUUACCCCAUGGAUGGCAAGUUUGCAUGCACCUGGAAGGAUGAGUCCAUGCAAGUCAUUUUCCAUAUUGCUACUCUGAUGCCUAACAGAAAAGAGGAUCCCAACUGCAAUUCAAAAAAACUACACAUUGGGCCAGUUUAAUUAUGUGAACAUUGUCAUUCGUCCCCUGGACCAUGGCAGUAAUGCAGUCACCCUCAUUGCGAAGCAAGAAUCCUUUGUGGACACAAUAUCAGCAGAUAUUGCUGACAUCCUUGGACACACUCAUCCAAAAA